GCUAGGGAAUGUACCUCUUAUCCAUAUUUGAAGGAAAUAAAUUACGUGCCCUUUCAUUUGGAAAUUACUUAUGACAGUGGGAUUUGCGAAAAAGACUGUGUUUUUGCGGAUAAUUGUGCAGUGUUUUGUUGAGGAGGAGACUUCUGGCAUCCCCACUGGCAUGCAUCUCAUUUUGUUUUCCAAACCCUUAGCCUGUGAGGAAUCCUAGUUUGCACAAGCUUCUCAGUUUUGAGUGGUUAAAUUCGUAGAAAACCCUCCCUGAGCUGGGCAUGCUUAGCUCCUCACAGGUCAUGCUGGGCACAGACACCUGACUGGGUUAGGAGGCCUGGCACAGCUGUGAACCCCAGCUAGACCCAGCCUUGAUGGAAAACUUCUCAAGUUGCACUGCAAGAACCAACCAUUGGGGUGAGGAGGAGGAAUGAAGUGAAGCAAAGGAAGCAGGGCAAAUCCAGGGGAAGGGCAGGAAAACCAAGGUUCACNNNNNNNNNNGGGCAACUCCAUGGAAACGGCAGGGGAAGGGCAGGAAAACCAAGGUUCACCUUGAUGCAAAGCACUGAUCUGUGCUUUGAUGAGGGGAGCUGUUGUUUAUAGGGUCCUGUGUUGUUUCUGUCCUUCAGCAGGACCUGAGCACAGCAGUGCCUGGCUCCAACCAAGUGUUUCCAGCCCUUCCCAAGAGCACCCAGCCUGGGCUCCCUCCUGCCUGCCUGCGUUACCACCUCCAGCGCCUCAGAUCCCAGCAAGCUGGAUCCCUGCUAUGCAGCGGAUGGCAGCGCAGGAUGAAGGUUAGGACCGGAGAUUACAAAAUCGGGCCCUUCAUCCGCAGAGGUCAGGGAAAGUCACUUGGACGAAAGGCUUACGGACGGAUUCUUGGCUGGUAUAAUUCAUCCCGGCCCCAAAAAAGUCGCAGCAAGGCUCUGCUGCUUUGCACCCACUGAACAUCUGGCCCUCAGCCUGUGGGAAGAAUGAUAAAAUGUGCCUCAUGCUUCAUGCAUUUCUAAGCAGCUGCUUUGAAGGACUCCUCACAUGGGACUGUGUGCUGUUGCUGAAAGCUCUGGAAAGGAUCGAUUGUGCACAAGCAUUUCAAAACUUCAGUGUUUACAGGGCAUGAAUGCAAGCUGGAAGAAAUCUCUAAUGUAGUAAGCUGCUUCUUGGCAAAUCUCUCUGCAAAUCAGGUGGGUGAGGAAGAGAUUAUGUCCAGUCCCAGACGAUUAAGAGCUUCAUGAUGCCUUUCCAUGCGGGAUCUGCUUCACUAGUUCUGACAAGAUCAGGUGGUUCCUGCCUGGUACAGCUGUGUGCAGCGGUCUGGCAAACAUUGGAUGGAUUUGGCUGUGUGAAUAUGUGUGACCUCUCCCUCUAAUUGUUUUUUUUUUUUUUUUUUUUAAUCAUUAUUAAUAAUCAGGAACUACAUCUUUCAAUGUCUGUCUUUAUCUUAACAUGGCAACUGCUCUGGCAGCUCUGCCAAAGAAAUCGUAUGAAGAACAGGCUUAAAAAGUCAUCUGGUAAUAUUUUUUUUUGGUAUGAAGUUUUCAGCUGCAGUUACAUUUUUUAGGGAUUCAAAUCAGUAAGUGAAAGACAAAAUUUGUACACCGUAGGACUCCUAUUGCUACAACUGUUCCUUGUCAUUUUUCCUUACUAUCGGGUGAUGCCUCUAUCCACUUCUGAGAGGGCUUGACCUAAUAGCUAGACAUGAGACCUUACAUGUUCGUUAAAGAUGAAAUUAGUUUAUUUAUUUGUUGCUUUACCUUCAUUUCACUUUCCAAACAGAAGUUUUCAGAAAUUAUACUCUCAUUAAGAUUUUGGUUGUUCCUUCCAGUUAACUGCAUCCCAUGCCAGGCUGAAAACCUCUCUGCGUUUUUAUGAGGAACUGAGACUGAGCUAAGGUUGUACUCUUCUACCUUGUCACCAAAACCCAGCUUCAGCUUCCACGACUAAAAAAAUAUGCCAGACAGCAUUCCUAUGAGUUAAAUGGUUACCCAAAAUAGAAUAAACACAGUUUGCGACUGAGAAGAAUUGCAGAAGGAUGCCACAGGGCCGGUUUCUCUGUUCCCUAGGCAAGUUAGAUAAGCACUUGGACCAUAAGCAGAAGGAAUUGCAUCUUUAGCAGUUUUCUCAUUCUGGCAUUAAAAUUUAAAAUUAACAGUGCUGCUUUCCUUCAAUUUAUUUUAUUUAUUAUGAUCUGGUCAGCUUAUGUCCUUUAGAAAAACACAGCAGAAAAGUUACUCCCGUAUCAUUGUGUUUUUACAGCCCAUUCUAACUUAAAUCACAGUUUCACAGAGGAAAGGUGCUUGGGAAGAUAAAGAUGAUGUCAACUACAUAAAUUAUUUGACAGUGCAGGACUAAUUAGGAGAUGUACCCUGUGCUUGCCAACUUAUAAUUGUGCUUCAGUUUACUGGAGAAGUAGGACCAACUGUAAGAAGGGACAAAGUGAAGCACGGGGGAAGAGAAUCAGGCAGACACUCCUGCACACCAGGCCCGUGAUAAGUAGUGUCUUUAAAUCAAUUAUUAAUUUGGGAAAUUACAAACAAUUGAGGAUUAGUGCUCAGGAUAAGCAAAGAAAGGAAAAGAUGUUGGUAGUGCAGAGCAGCGUCCUGGAGAAAUGCUGGGAGCUGUACAGGCAAACAUCCAUCUCCACCCUCACUGGUGGGUGCUGCAGUGCAGCUCAGCAGGUGAGGUCUCCUCAGCUACAGCUCUGACCAUGGAGUAUGUAACAGCACUCAAACCUCAUGCAAAAGAUUUCCUCAGCUUAUUUGAUAGCACAGUCAUGCAAGAGGUUUCCUUAAUGCUUCACCGUUCUGGUAGGGAACCAGCAUAGGGUUUCCCCACCCCUGAGAGCAAACAGCAACCUCUCUUUGCUCUUUUUCCUAUUAAAUGAACAAAGGGCUCUUGAAGGCCUGAAGGCAAAAGCUCUUAAAAGGGAAGAAAAAGAAGACAUUCCCCCAAGAGACCAGGGACAGUGGAACAGCAGUGGUGGUCUCAUCUGGUGUGGCCAUCGCUGCCCCAUGGACAGCCUCCUGUGCCAUGAUGUCCCUUGCCGUCAUCCUCUGCAGCCGAUAAAGUAAAAGCCAUCCCUGCCGUUGCAGGAAUGCCAACUUCAUGCACAAAAAGCAACAGUUUUCAUCCCAACUCUUCUCCUCUUUUUGCCAUGCUGCAGUUUGCUUCGCAUUUAGAGAAACCAGAACCGGUCUGGCAUUGCAGCAGUUCCCCCAAGCCCUCAGGACUUGCUGAUCAUAACUCCUGGAAAUUCAGUGUGGGGAGGGGAAAGAUGAAUCCUCAGAGAUGAGCCCAGGGUAUUUUUUACCUCCCAGAGCACGUAGAUGACUGUUGUGAGCGAGGCAUGCAGCGAGUCAGUGAAGCCCCCUGCACACCGAGAAACACAAUUUAAUCCCUUUAGGUCAGAAACAGGGCAAACAAAUUACUGGUUAGCAAAACAGACAAAGAUUUAAAGAAAUAGCUAAGGGAACGUGAUGCCUUUGGCUGGUGACGAGAAAAAAAAAAGAAAAAAGAAAAAAAGAAAAGGAAAAAGAAAAAAGAAAAGGUGCCUGAGUAACAGCAGUUAAAUUAAAACCAUCUCAGUGGCUGAAACGUGGCAGGAGUUUGAGGAGGAAAACAGCUGGCAGGAGCAGCAGCUCCCACCGUGAUGCGGGGCCGGGCAGCCCCAGAGCACACACGUUUUUGGGUUCCUGCUCGUCAGCGGAGACGAAGUCAUUGCUGGUUUCUGAAGGUGUCCUCAUCGGGCCUCUGCUCUGCUCCGGAGGUAAGGGUGUAAGCCUGACAGUAGUUUGGAAAAGUAAAAAAACCUGAAUCUUAGAUCAAACCUAAUAUAUUCUAUUAACUUUUAACAUUAUUGUGUUUUUCUUCUAAUUAAAGCAUACAGUCGGGUUUUCAUCCUCUGUCCUACCUAUGUGUCCACCUAUUUUAGCCUCAUCAGUGAGCUACCUGGAGACCAGCCAUUCUCUGGACCAGACUGGGGAAAAAUGGCUCAUCCUAAUUUAACACACUAAUGGAUAUUUAACUCAAAUGGGAUUUAAUUUGACUCAGACACUUGAAUUUCAAAAGUCUGUUCAUUUUGUGUUUGAAGUCACGGAGAUCUGAGCAAAAAUAAUUGACAUUAAAAUGCUAUUCAGGCUCGUUUUUCGGGAGGAAAAAGCGAUCAGCUGAGGAACAGCAACGGGAGAGGGAAUUUUGUUGAAGCAGCUUCAAAGACGGAGCAGAUGAGGAGAGGGCUGGGUAUGCAUGUGGUGGGUGGGGUAGGGCGAGUGACGUCCCCUCAGCUCGUGGGGUCCUGCUUUGGGAAAUGGGUUUGUGUUCUGUAUGAACCCAGCACAGAUGUAUGUUAUCAUUAGUAUUUGUGGUUUUUUGGUUCACAUUUUGGGAUUCCCCUGUGGUCACGGACAGCCGGGCAGGCGUUAUUAGUGAGGAAGGGGUUUAAUACGGGUGGGAUGGCGGCGGAGCUUUUGCACUCUCGGGAAGGAGCACGAGAUAGCCAAACACGCUCAAUAACCAC
rnacentral:lncRNA from 1 species